ensembl:lncRNA
GAAGAAAUUACAGUAUUCCUGGCAGGUCGUAUUCAUCAUGAAUUUAACAAUGCUUUGAGUCUUUUCAGCUGUUCCAGCUUCUUUUCAGGAGGAGAAGUUACCAAAAUAGACUGAGCAAUGGGUUCAUCUGCAGCUGUAGAUGGAGCUUCAGUGAAGGCAUGCACCAAAAUGAUGCAGGUCCUCCUUCAGCAAGAGAGUGAAACAUCAACCUGACUUUCCAGCAUGGAGUAAUCCCAGCAUAUAUCAUCGUCCUUGACUUCAGUGGGACUCUUCAACAGCUUUAAAAUAUUAGACAUGUGCUUAGAUGAGUAAAUCACUGUUGAACAACAGUGAAUGAUAGAGGGUGAAAAACUCCUUUCCUGCCUGGGGCUAACUGCCUACAGAGAAGUGCACGCACCAUUCACCCUUUUGUGAAGGCAAGAAAAAUCACUCAGGUUUAUCUGAUAGCAUUCAGCUUUGUAUGCACUAUAUUGUAAAUAUAUCAUAAAGGCACAUGCUUCACUUUUAAUUUUAAUAUUUCUUUGAAAGA